rnacentral:tRNA from 1 species
GGGUAUAUAGCUCAAUGGUAGAGUGCAUGCUUAGCAUGCAUGAGGUCCUGGGCUCAAUCCCCAGUGCCUCCA